rnacentral:rRNA from 1 species
UACGGGGGGAGCAAGCGUUGUUCGGAUUUACUGGGCGUAAAGGGCGCGUAGGCGGUCAGCACAAGUCAGUUGUGAAAUCUCCGGGCUUAACUCGGAAAGGUCAACUGAUACUGUGCGACUAGAGUGCGGAAGGGGCAACUGGAAUUCUCGGUGUAGCGGUGAAAUGCGUAGAGAUGCGGAGGAACACCGAUGGCGAAGGCAGCCCCCUGGGCUAACACUGACGCUCAGGCACGAAAGCGUGGGGAGCAAACAGG